rnacentral:rRNA from 1 species
CUCCAGACUCCUACGGGAGGCAGCAGUGGGGAAUAUUGCACAAUGGGGGAAACCCUGAUGCAGCGACGCCGCGUGAGCGAUGAAGUAUUUCGGUAUGUAAAGCUCUAUCAGCAGGGAAGAAGAUGACGGUACCUGACUAAGAAGCCCCGGCUAACUACGUGCCAGCAGCCGCGGUAAUACGUAGGGGGCAAGCGUUAUCCGGAUUCACUGGGUGUAAAGGGAGCGUAGACGGCCAUGCAAGCCUGGAGUGAAAGCCCGGGGCCCAACCCCGGGACUGCUCUUGGAACUGCGUGGCUGGAGUGCAGGAGGGGCAGGCGGAAUUCCUGGUGUAGCGGUGAAAUGCGUAGAUAUCAGGAGGAACACCGGUGGCGAAGGCGGCCUGCUGGACUGCAACUGACGUUGAGGCCCGAAAGCGUGGGGAGCAAACAGGAUUAGAUACCCGAGUA